rnacentral:rRNA from 1 species
AUUGAACGCUGGCGGCAGGCUUAACACAUGCAAGUCGAACGAGUGGCGGACGGGUGAGUAAUGCUUGGGAAUCUAGCUUAUGGAGGGGGAUAACUACGGGAAACUGUAGCUAAUACCGCGUACCAUAGGAUGAGCCCAUGUGGGAUUAGGUAGUUGGUUGGGUAAAGGCUCACCAAGCCGACGAUCUCUAGCUGGUCUGCGAGGAUGACCCGCCUAACGGGAACGUGGACACGGCCCGUACUCCGUCGGGAGGCAGCAUAUGGGAAUAUUGGGCAAGGGGGGCAACCUUGCGCAGCCAUGCCGCGUGAAUGAAGAAGGCCUUCGGGUUGUAAAGGUCUUUCGGUAGCGAGGCGUUAACGACAGAAGAAGCACCGGCUAACUCCGUGCCAGCCGCCGCGGUAAUAC